UAGCGCACUAUGAAUAAAUCAGUAAAUAUUGAAUACCUGUCAAUUUUCUGGAGAUAAAACUAACUAGCUAAACUAAAAUCAUAUAAUGGAGCUUCUAAAAUCAAGUACGUUGCUGAAAUCGAACACAUCAAUACGUGCGGUUCUUUACUCAAAUUCACUUGACAUUCUAUUUCAUGUUUUUCAGAAUGCGAAAGAUGAUAAUGUCUUUCUGAUCAGAUUGCUACAAGAUGAGACUACUAAAAGUAUUGAAAUUUAGAAAACCUUAUAAAAACAAUAACUACCUUGCACACACAUUUUCUUAAUUUGAUGAGAAUAAAACUGCUAACCCCAACGGUCGUUAUUUAUCGUCUGGGUAUCCGUAAAUCUCUGUAUACCUGUUCAAAGAUAUACAACGUCACAUCUGUCAACUACAUUCCAUUAUGUUGUUAAAUCCCUUCAAAUGUAAGCUACGCAGUUUGGUAUCUGAUUUAAGGAUACGUAGAACUGCGGUGAGUUUUCCUUGUGAUCUAUUAUAUUACAAUACACAGGUUGUAUAAGUAGCAACUGAGUAUAGGUAUUGUAUUAACUGAGUUAUAAUGUUACCUA